rnacentral:rRNA from 1 species
UACGGAGGGAGCUAGCGUUGUUCGGAAUUACUGGGCGUAAAGCGCACGUAGGCGGCUAUUCAAGUCGGGGGUGAAAGCCCGGGGCUCAACCCCGGAACUGCCCUCGAAACUAGAUAGCUAGAAUCUUGGAGAGGCGAGUGGAAUUCCGAGUGUAGAGGUGAAAUUCGUAGAUAUUCGGAAGAACACCAGUGGCGAAGGCGACUCGCUGGACAAGUAUUGACGCUGAGACGCGAAAGCGUGGGGAGCAAACAGG